AGCAUAUGGAGAAAAUCAAUAAAAGGAAAUCUGAACCACAAAUUGGAACUCAUGUUACUAAAAAGAAUGCUGAGAGAAUACUUGAAGCAACAUUUUCUGGACUUCACCAAAGGAUGUGAAUCAGCAACCGCUCCCCUUUCUUUGCCUUUUCAACAAGAAACAGGACAAGACAACGAAUUCUAUAGUUUAUAUGGAAAAAAUUUAUGGCACUAAGUAAUGAUAAAGAUAAAAGUACUUACUGAUUGCUAAA
rnacentral:misc_RNA from 1 species